GAUGAACGCUGGCGGCGUGCCUAAUACAUGCAAGUCGAGCGAACAGAUGAGGAGCUUGCUCCUCUGACGUUAGCGGCGGACGGGUGAGUAACACGUGGAUAACCUACCUCUAAGACUGGGAUAACUUCGGGAAACCGGAGCUAAUACCGGAUAAUAUAUUGAACCGCAUGGUUCAAUAGUGAAAGACGGUUUUGCUGUCACUUAUAGAUGGAUCCGCGCCGCAUUAGCUAGUUGGUAAGGUAACGGCUUACCAAGGCAACGAUGCGUAGCCGACCUGAGAGGGUGAUCGGCCACACUGGAACUGAGACACGGUCCAGACUCCUACGGGAGGCAGCAGUAGGGAAUCUUCGGCAAUGGGCGAAAGCCUGACGGAGCAACGCCGCGUGAGUGAUGAAGGUCUUCGGAUCGUAAAACUCUGUUAUUAGGGAAGAAAAAAUGUGUAAGAAACUAUGCACGUCUUGACGGUACCUAAUCAGAAAGCCACGGCUAACUACGUG
rnacentral:rRNA from 1 species